AACGUAGGUGGCGAGCGUUAUCCGGAUUUACUGGGCGUAAAGCGUGUGCAGGCGGGGUAUCAAGUGGUGUAUGAAAUCGCUCGGCUUAACCGGGCGCGGUUAUGCCAGGCUGAUACUCUGGAGUGCGGGAGAGGGGCGUGGAAUUCCGGGUGUAGUGGUGAAAUGCGUAGAGAUCCGGAGGAACCCCAGAGGCGAAGGCGGCGCCCUGGCCCGACACUGACGCUCAGACACGACAGCAUGGGGAGCGAACGGG
rnacentral:rRNA from 1 species